CGCUGCCUGAGAGAGGAGGACGCUUCCUAUUGGAUGAAGGGUUUCUCUCAGGGGAAGGAAAGGGAUGACGUUAUCAGAGGGGGAGGGCAGAAGAAUGGUCACCCCCCUCCCCCAGCGGAACCCGAGGAAGUGACUGAGGGGACACACCCACCUUCACCAGCUGGAAGAUGAAAACAGGAAGAACCCCGGAGGAGCCGUCAGAGGGAAGUCACCGCCGACACACCGUGGACGUCCCGACACUCCGCCACCGGGAUUCUCCUCCACUAUGAGGGGCCGCCGCGGGUGAAGGAACUCUCUCUGUCUCUCUCGCUCUCUCUCUCUGUC